rnacentral:rRNA from 1 species
GCAUCCGUAGCCAGCUAGACAAGUCUCCGGUUAAAUCCAGCUGCUCAACAGAUGGGCCGCCGGAGAUACUACAAAGCUAGGGAGCGGGAGAGGUAGACGGUACUCGGUGGGUAGGGGUAAGAUCCUCUGAUCCAUUGAAGACCACCAGUGGCGAAGGCGGUCUACCAGAACGCGUUCGACGGUGAGGGAUGAAAGCUGGGGGAGCAAACCGGAUUAGAUACCCGGGUAGUCCCAGCUGUAAACGAUGCAAACUCGGUGAUGCGUCGGCUUAUGGCCGGCGCAGUGCCGCAGGGAAGCCGUUAAGUUUGCCGCCUGGGAAGUACGGC